GGUGUGCUUGAAUUCAGGUGAAUCACACUGUAAAAUGUAAUAUUGUGUUUAAUUAAAAAUAUUAAAUAGGCUGAACUCAGUUUUUAUCAAUUUGUUAUUAGAACUUGAUUUAAAUAAGUUACCAGUACUUUUCAAGCCAAAAACGCUGAUAAACUCAAUUUAUUUGAGUUGUAAGCUGGAAGUUUUGCUUCUCAGGGCGGAAGGAUGAAAGAUGUGUUUUGAAAAUGCCACGUCACUACCGUCCUCCUCCCUCUCGGAUCAGUCCGCAUGUUCACGGUGCCAGCAUUUGUUAUGGAAUAUGUUGAGCAAACCUGGAGAAGCGUCAGCUCAAGAUAUUAUUGUUUUCAUUGCUGUGCAUCUUUACCUGAUACACUGACUUGCACUCCUGCUGUUGGACAGAAAGACAUCAACCUGAGAUAUGACUGCACUAUGCUGUUGCUGGUGACUCCAGUUAAUUCUACAAGACAUUCUGUGACACCAGGAGAGAUGAGUCCUCCGCCGCGAACUGAGCAUCCGAUAAGAAGGAAACAGGAAGUCAAAUAAGUUUGUUUGUGGAAGCGUUCUGUUGCCGGCAAAUUAAACAUUUGGCAAAUUAAGGUAAAUACAUAGUUACACGUUUCUUUAUAUUUUAUUGUGUUACAGAUUAAGUCAUUUGUUCAUACUUUGUUCUGUCUUCUCAGUCUUCACGUGGGUCAGGUGUGGGAAACGCCCGCCUAGCAUUUCCUCAUUUUAAAGUCCUGAUGAUGUCACACAUGACAUCAGCAGGUCGAACCAAGUGGAGGGGUUUCUUUUGUUUGUGUCAAGGUCUGAAGGGAUUUGUUGAAUCUUUUUCUUUUCAUUAAUACGGCCAUUUAGUUGUGUAAAUAUUAGAAGUGUGAGGUUUUGUGUCUUUUUUAAUCAUCUGUAGAGUUUUAGAUCCCUCAGUGUGAGUCAGUGCUACUGGCUGGGCUAAUUGAACGGAAAUUGAUGGCCCUAUUUACAGCCAGUCUCUACCAGAGAGAGGAGAGGUGUGUUAACAGAGCCAUGGUCUGUUGAGUUUUGUUAACUGAGUUACUUUGGGGGGAAGUUUUGUUAAGUUACAUUAAAUUGAGUUCACUGUAAAUAAAUUGCUCACCUCUGGAAACCUGAAA